AUUGAACGCUGGCGGCAGGCCUAACACAUGCAAGUCGAACGAGUGGCGGACGGGUGAGUAAUGUCGGGGAAACUGCCUGCUGGAGGGGGAUAACUACUGGAACCGGUAGCUAAUACCGCAUACCAUCGGAUGUGCCCAGAUGGGCUAAGUUAGUAGGUGGGGUAAAGGCUCACCUAGGCGACGAUCCCUAGCGGAUCUGAGAGGAUGACCAGCGACAUGGGAACGGGGACGCGGUCAAGGCUCCUACGGGAGGCAGCAGUGGGGAAUAGUGGACAGUGGGCGCAAGCCUGGCACAACCAUGCCGCGUGUAUUAAGAAGGCGUUGGGGUUGGAAAGUACUUUCUGCGGUUAGACGUUACCCGCAGAAGAAGCACCGGCUAACUCCGUGCCAGCAGCCGCGGUAAUAC
rnacentral:rRNA from 1 species